rnacentral:rRNA from 1 species
CCUACGGGGGGCAGCAGUAGGGAAUAUUGCUCAAUGGGGGAAACCCUGAAGCAGCAACGCCGCGUGGAUGAUGAAGGACUUAGGUUUGUAAAGCCCUUUCGUCAGAGAAGAUAAUGACGGUACCUCACGAAUAAGCACCGGCUAACUCCGUGCCAGCAGCCGCGGUAAUACGGAGGGGGCAAGCGUUAUCCGGAAUCACUGGGUGUAAAGGGGGCGUAGGCGGGCUUGUAAGUCAGAUGUGAAAGCCUGUGGCUUAACUACGGGACUGCAUUGGAAACUGUGAGUCUCGAGUGUGGGAGGGGUAGGAGGAAUUCUUGGUGUAGCGGUGAAAUGCGUAGAUAUCAGGAGGAAUA